CAGGUUUACCUGUGUGACUGCGUACCUUUUGUAUAAUGGGUCAGCGACUUAUAUUCUGUAGCAAGGUUAACCGAAUAGGGGAGCCGGAGGGAAACCGAGUCUUAAUUGGGCGUUAAGUUGCAGGGUAUAGACCCGAAACCCGGUGAUCUAGCCAUGGGCAGGUUGAAGGUUGGGUAACACUAACUGGAGGACCGAACCGACUAAUGUUGAAAAAUUAGCGGAUGACCUGUGGCUGGGGGUGAAAGGCCAAUCAAACCGGGAGAUAGCUGGUUCUCCCCGAAA
rnacentral:rRNA from 1 species